rnacentral:rRNA from 1 species
UACGAAGGGGGCUAGCGUUGUUCGGAAUUACUGGGCGUAAAGCGCGCGCAGGCGGUCUUCCAAGUCAGUGGUGAAAGCCUGGAGCUCAACUCCAGAACUGCCAUUGAAACUGUUAGACUUGAGUACGAGAGAGGUGAGUGGAAUUCCCAGUGUAGAGGUGAAAUUCGUAGAUAUUGGGAAGAACACCGGUGGCGAAGGCGGCCAUCUGGACCGCAACUGACGCUGAGGCGCGAAAGCGUGGGGAGCAAACAGG